rnacentral:rRNA from 1 species
UACGUAGGGCGCAAGCGUUGUCCGGAAUUAUUGGGCGUAAAGAGCUCGUAGGCGGUCUGUCGCGUCGGAUGUGAAAGCCCGGGGCUUAACCCCGGGUCUGCAUUCGAUACGGGCAGACUAGAGUGUGGUAGGGGAGAUCGGAAUUCCUGGUGUAGCGGUGAAAUGCGCAGAUAUCGGGAGGAACACCAGUGGCGAAGGCGACUACCUGGCCUGUUCUUGACGCUGAGGCGCGAAAGCUAGGGGAGCAAACGGGG